rnacentral:rRNA from 1 species
GAUGAACGCUGGCGGCGUGCUUAACACAUGCAAGUCGAACGAAGCAACUUGAUUUGAUUCUUCGGAUGAAGAUCCUGGUGACUGAGUGGCGGACGGGUGAGUAACGCGUGGGUAACCUGCCUCAUACAGGGGGAUAACAGGUAGAAAUGACUGCUAAUACCGCAUAAGACCACAGCACCGCAUGGUGCAGGGGUAAAAACUCCGGUGGUAGGAGAUGGACCCGCGUCUGAUUAGGUAGUUGGUGGGGUAACGGCCUACCAAGCCGACGAUCAGUAGCCGACCUGAGAGGGUGACCGGCCACAUGGGGACUGAGACAAGGCACAAACUCCUACGGGAGGCAGCAGUGGGGAAUAUUGCACAAUGGGGGAAACCCUGAUGCAGCGACGCCGCGUGAGCGAUGAAGUAUUUCGGUAUGUAAAGCUCUAUCAGCAGGGAAGAAAAUGACGGUACCUGACUAAGAAGCACCGGCUAAAUACGUGCCAGCCGCCGCCGUAACAC